UGGAGUGGUGGAAGGUCAUCUUGAAGACCCGCUGCCCGCUGGACUGCAGGUAGACCUCAACACAGUCACAGGCCUGGCUGCCAGUCGAGCCGACCACUUCCAGCUGCUCCCGAGUAGCCAGUACGUAGAGCACAACAUAGCGGCAGGCACGCUUCCACUGGAUCUGGCCAAGGGUGGAGGAGACCAGGGCAUUUUUGAGGAAGAAGAGAGUCCCUGCAUAGUCAAGGAUGAAGACGUGGUCCUUGAGAAAGGGGCCCUGGAAGGUUGGCUGGGAAUGCUGAACUCAUCAGGCAACUUGAUGGAACAGGAGGGGUCCCAGAAUAAGGUAGGACAGAGGCAAAGAGAACUGGAGGUUUUGGGGAAGCUGUACAGUUAAGAAUGGCAGCUCUCUUCCAGGGCCGGACCCCAGAGCCCUGCUCUCGUAGGCGAGGACUGAGCCUGCGACAGAUGCGUCUCCACACGCCCUCAGCAUCGCACACUUCGUGGAAGUAGUGGCAGGCUCUGGGCCACAUGAAGGGCAGCUCCGCUUCACCUACCAGAGAAGAAAGGGGAGCAAGGGCUUCGAUGAGAAUCAUCUCUCGUUUUCUUCAUCCUCUCAGUCUGUCAUUAACUACUAUCUUGGAGGCUCAUAGCUCUAUCUCCCAGCUUAGAGCUGUCAAAUCCUCCCAUCUUUCUCUCUAGGUCCACAGUCACCCCUCCCUGUCUACCUUGUUGCUUGGUCCAACUUCUCCAAGUAAUCCUUCCCCAGAUAUCUUGCUAUCCUCUUGCCCUUCCCUUGCCUUGUCUCCACCCCUCACUCUGAGCCUCUCCUCCCAUCCGCACAGCCCUGCGAAUUUUUGCAGCUUCUGUCUCAGGCUUCUCCUCACCAUCCUGACUGACCCCUCCCUGCUCCUGUCCUCAUCUCUCCGAGCCCCUUGGCACCCAUCUUGGGCCCAGUCCCUGCUGCCUUUCCCACACCAUGUCCCCUGCCUGGGCUUGGGGACCUCUGGGCCCCUCUGCCUCCUAGGCCCUCCCCCAUGGAGUCUGAGGCAGACAAACCUCUGUGACCUCACUGCCUGGCCACUGUGACCUAUUUUCCCCAACCUUGCCAGAGAUUUUCUCUUAGACAGCUCCUCAGUUCUGGCUCAGCUCCAGCCCCUCGAUGGCUUGGCAUAUGCAUUUUCCAGGAGAAAUACAGUGUGAACUCCUGGUUGAUGGGGCCUUUACAUUCAGGGAGUAGUAGGAGGUUUUUCCACUUGAGGCCCUUUUGGCACUAACUCUGAGGAGAAACACUGGUAAAUUCUUCAUAUCUCAGCAGGCCAGAGCCUCCAGGGGGUUUGUAGCUCAAGAGUAUAAACUCAAAAAAAAAAAA